rnacentral:rRNA from 1 species
GACGGAGGGGGCUAGCGUUGUUCGGAAUGACUGGGCGUAAAGGGCGCGUAGGUGGUUUUUUAAGUGAGGCGUGAAAGCCCUGGGCUUAACCCAGGAGGUGCGUUUCAUACUGGAAAGCUUGAGUGCGAGAGAGGAAAGCGGAAUUCCUAGUGUAGAGGUGAAAUUCGUAGAUAUUAGGAAGAACACCAGUGGCGAAGGCGGCUUUCUGGCUCGUAACUGACGCUGAGGCGCGAAAGCGUGGGGAGCAAACAGG